AGAUCAAGAGCAGGGAGCAAGCCGGGCCAAGAAGCCCUCCUCACCAAAGAAGAAAAAGAAAAGAGAGAGAAAACUGGGGAAAGCUAAGGAGACAACCAGGAUAACAGUGAAGAGACCAUGGUGUGAAGAAGAGAGAAGCGCAGUAAACAAACAUCUAGCAAGAGAACCUUUUGGAUCCCAGCCUGCAUGCACGAUUUGUUUCAUGUGCCAGUAAUGAACUGCCCAAAGCCCUGCAAAACCUCAAGGAAAAUAGCGACAGCAAUGGUCUGGACCACUUCUUUGGUCUUCUUG